ensembl:lincRNA
AGCAAUUUGUGUUUUCACAAGCCAUCCAGGUGAUUUCCAUGUGUACUCAAGUUUGAGAACUGCUGCAUCACUAUUCUAAGGAUGGUAUGACUUACUUGAGAAAGGAAUUUUCAGGCUGAUCCCAUUUUCUUUUCUGAUUAAUGAAGGGCAAAAGUGUUUUAUUGGUAAAAAAAUUAAUUUUUAUAAACAAAAUAUAUAUUACUACAACUUGAAAGACAUCAAUUUACUUUUCUCCUUUUUUUCUAUUUUAGUUGCAAUGAACUGAGACUGACAUUUCAAUGACUAGCCUAAAAGAAUAUAAGGAGAAAAAAGUGUAGAGAAUGAAACACUGCCAAUAAAUAUGCAGAAGUAAAAAAUUGCACCAGAUAAUUUCAAGAUAGUGAAGGCCAGAAAGAAAUACAGAACAGGAAACCCAGAUGCUGUCUGCAUUGGAAAAGAUUUCACAAAAUAUGCCAUUAACAUGCUGAAGUGACUAAGCAUUUCUGGCAUUAGGAAACCUUUCAAGAGUCCACUAAUGAUUGAUUUACUCUUCUUUAUGGGACACUAAAGUUGAGAACGGAGUAUCUUCUGCAGCCUUUGACUGACACAUGAGGCCUUCUCUGGAGAUAAGCUGGGGUUAUAAAACUUUCCAUGAGAGGCCAAAUCCAUCAGUCAUUCCAGAAAACCUCACAGCCAGUUCUACUCCAUAUGAAAUCUGUCUGGGCAUCAAUGUACUGAUGAAUGCAAUGAAGACGCGGAUCAAAACCAUUCUUAGUGCGAUUCAGUGGGGUGUCGUACUUUGCAUUGAAUGGCUGCAUAACAUCCAGGAGAGACAUAAACGUAAGAAGAAAACUUUGGAGUGGAAUCAUUAUCAAGAAAAAGCAAACCACAAAGGAAAGUACCUGAGUGUUUUCCCUUCUCUUCAUAACACUCCACGGAAGGACCACCAAUGAAGCCUACUACUAAAGAUGCAAAUAUCCCUGGAAAAGGAGCUGGAGUGACAGGAACACUGAUCCUACACCAGGACUGAGCACAGCAGAUAGAGAUGAAGCAGGACCCAGGAAAUGUGUAUUGCAAGUUUGAAGGUUGAGCUUCUGUGGAACAGUGAUCUUGCUGGAACACUCACGUGAAGAAUGAGAGUGGAUAGCGAGGCUGAGAAGGACAGCGGAGAUGGGGGGACUAUCAUCAGGGGAAUCAUAGACCUGAGUGAGAUAGGACAAGCACAAGGAAAAGCACCAGGCCUUCAAGGAGAGAACCUUUAGAGAUUGCAAAAGGUGCCCACGGUUGGUGGAAGGGGUGCUUUCAAAGGUGAAUGUGGUGAAUCCUUACCUGCAGGAGGAGAUGAAGGGGUGCUCCUGUUUUCCCAGGGUCUGAGAUUAGGCUGGAACCAUUGGCCAGAAACUUAGUUUCAUGGCAGGCUUCUUCAGCCUUUCUGGCAUCUGAGGACUAGUAGCAACAAACUCCAUCACCCUAUUCACUGUCUUAGGUAGUACGUCAUAUCCUGCAAACCACUAGAUUAUAAACACAAUCUGUGGUCUGCUUUCAUAUCUCAGGUAAGAUUUUUGAGGGUCAGUCUUAUGGCUACACCCAGAGACUUGUCAGAGUCAAGCCUUCUGGGCUAGUUUAGGGAGCCACAGUUUGCUACUCAGAGUUGGGUUUGAAAUAGUUGGGCAACAAGUCACUUUUUUUUAAUCUUCCUGUGUGCUUUCAGCAGUCAUCAUGAUUCAUAUGACAUAGUUCCUCGAAAGACCAAGAAAAAAGAUGACAAAACAAAAUUCACACAAUACUUCCUAUUUCCUAUAGUGCAGGGAUACAUAUUUUCUUCCUUUCCUUUUUUCUUUUUGAAUAAGGACCUCACUGUGUCAACCAAGCUGGAGUGCAGUGGUGCGAUCUCGGCCCACUACAACCUCCGUUUCCUGGGUUCAAGCGAUUCUCAUGCCUCAACCUUCGAAGUGGAGUGCAGUGCCUUGACCUCCUAGGCUCAAGGGAUCCUCCCACCUCAGCCGUCUGAGUAGCUGGGACUACAGACACAUGCCACCACACUUGACUAAUUUAUUUGUUUUUUGUAGAGAUUGGGGUGGGGGGGCCUCACUACGUUGCCCAGGCUGGUCUUGAACUCUUGGGCUCAAGCAAUCUACCUGUCACGGCCUCUUAAAGUGCUGGGAUUACUGGCAUGAGCCACUGUGCCCAGCCUUCAUAUUAUUUACAACUACAGUACAUAGUCAAGAAUGUCUGGGAUUUCAGAGUUGGAAGCAUUAAGAAAGAAAUAUUUCUGUGAUUAAAUAUAGAUACUGGGUAACAGUGUCUGUUUCUAAUUUAUUUUUUAUACUAAUUUUUUCACUGCAAACAAACUAAAAGACAGUGACUUUUAGGCCAGCUGCAGUGGCUCAUGCCUGCAAUCCCAGUACUUUGGGAGGCUGAGGCAGGCAGAUCACUUGAGGCCAAGAGUUUAAGACCAGCCUGGCCAACAUGGCAAAACUCUGUCUCUAGUCAAAAUACAAAUAUUAGCCGGAUAUGGUGGUGCGUGCCUAUAAUCCAGCUACUCGGGUGACUGAGGCACAAGAGUCACUUGAACCCAGAAGGCAGAGGGUGCAGUGAGCCAAGGUCAAAAUGUGGCCAGGGGACCCCUGGGGGUCCCUAGGUUCUUUUUGAGAGACCACAAGAUUCUGCCUUUUUCAACUAUAUAUCUAUCUGUGUAAAACUGGAUUUUCUUUAUGUACUUCAGCCAAAACAAUGUAAGUAACAGACUGAAUACAGAAGUAGAUAUGAGAUCUUAGCCAUCUUCUCUGAGGCCAGAUGGUAAAUAAUUCUAUAAAAAUAUAACAAUGUCAAUCUUCUCAUUGCAUUUUGUGGGUGUUGGGGAAAUACAGUUACUUUUCAUGAAAAACAUUAUUAAUGUUAAAAUAUAAAGAGUUUGUUAUAGUUAUUUUAAAUGAAUGAACACGUUACAACCGUUUCUCAGUUUUAAUUUCUAAUCUAGUGAAUAUUAAUACAUAUAAACCACACAAACAAAAGCUCUUUUUUUAAAAAAAUUAUACUUUAAGUUCUGGGAUACAUGUACAGAACAUGCAAGUUUGUUACAUAGGUAUACAUGUGCCAUGGUGGUUUGCUGCACCCAUCAACCCAUCUACAUUAGGUGUUUCUCCUAAUGCACUACCUUCCCUAGCCCCCCACCCCCUGACAGGCCCUGGUGUGUGAUAUUCCCCUCCCUGUGUCCAUGUGUUUUCAUUGUUUGACUCCCACUUAUGAAUGAGAACAUGCGGUGUUUGGUUUUCUGUUCUUGUGUUAGUUUGCUGACAAUGAUGGUUUCCAGCUUCAUCCAUGUCCCUGAAAAGGACAUGAACUCAUCCUUUUUUAUAGCUGCUAAGUAUUCCAUGGUGUAUAUGUGUCACAUUUUCUUUAUCCAGUCUAUCAUUGAUGGGCAUUUGGGUUGGUUCCAAGUCUUUGCUAUUGUGAACGGUGCUGCAAUAAACAUACGUGCCUCACGAAGUUUUAAGAGGAUAAAGGCGUCCUGAUACCGAGAUGUUUGAAAACUCCUGUGUGAGUUCUGGUUCGUUUUCCUCAAACUAAUUCUGUGGACUUUGUACCCAUUCAAAUCCCAUUUCUUUAGCUUGAGUUUGUUACCACCUCCACCCUCUUCAUUUUCCUUCCCAA